rnacentral:rRNA from 2 species
GGGUUGUGAGGUUAAGCGACUAAGCGUACACGGUGGAUGCCCUGGCAGUCAGAGGCGAUGAAGGACGUGCUAAUCUGCGUAAAGCGACGGUAAGGUGAUAUGAACCGCUACAGCCGUCGAUGUCCGAAUGGGGAAACCCGGUGCACUCAGUGCAUCAUUGCAGCAUGAAUACAUAGUGCUGCAAGGCGAACCGGGGGAACUGAAACAUCUAAGUACCCCGAGGAAAAGAAAUCAACCGAGAUUCCCCCAGUAGCGGCGAGCGAACGGGGAGCAGCCCAGAGCCUGAAUCAGCAUGUGUGUUAGUGGAAGCGUCUGGAAAGUCGCAGGGUACAGGGUGAUACUCCCGUACACAAAAGCACAC